AUAGACUGACAACUACUGCUACUUCUGCUUCUGGUGAAAGAGCUUGAAAUCAGUGGGUCAAGUAGUCAUGGAGCAAAACUGGAUCUGUCUUUCAGAAGGUGCUGGCAGUUUAUCUCUCACACAGAGGAGUAUACUUUGCUCCAGAAUCACAAGAUCUAAUGAAAAAUGACCAGUGGUAAUUAGACGUGCUGUCUCAUCUUUUCCAGUGGAGCCCAGAUCAGCAAUGGACUCAGUGAACCCCGCAGAAGAGAAGGCGGAAAGAUGUAGGAGCUAGAGUGAAUGGAGGACACCAAGAAAUCGAGGCUUUCUGGACACAAGAGGCCCCAAGGUCUCUGAAAAGGAUAUGGGCACGAUUCUACCUGGAUUGUGGUAUGAUAACCACUGAGAAACACUGCUCCAUUGCCUUGACCACUGCCAGAGCUUGGCCUACACUGUGGACAAACAGAGGAUCCCUGAAGAGUUAGAUGUCUCAUAUUGCCUAAGACAAGGACAGCUCCAGAGAAGCAACCCACAGAUGCUCCAAUCUAUUCUCACAGACACAGACACUUCUAUUGGACCUGCUCCUUCCUAUCCACAGAUGGUUCCACAGAUCCUGGACAGCAAGAGCAUAUCCAACUCUCCUAAGACUGGACCAAUUCCCCAUCCCAGGUUUCCCAGAGACAUAUCACACCAAUGUCAUCCUACAUGUCCAUGCUAAUGCAGACUGCUUUGGUUAUACUCGGUGGACAACAUCAUAAAUUAAAGCAAAGAGAUGUGAAAGUGAGAAGAGGACUGUAUGAAAGGCACUGGCAAUGGAACUCACCAUUUUAAUAUGCACAAAAAUAUGACCACAUGGACAUUCCUGAAACUUGAUGCAGGUAUGUGGUGUUAGAAUAGAGGAAGAGGAAAACAGAUCCUCUAUAAGAGAAACAGACAAUUAGGAAGAUGGUCAUGUGAGUGUAUUUCACAUACUGAGGAUGGUACCACAGAGGGCAGAAGCAGAGGCAGACAAGAGGUGGGCAAGGAGCAAACUCAUCUGAUUUACUGGGAAACUUCUUACUCAGCUUUCUCUCAGUCCAAAGACAUGGCUGUAAGCUACUGACCCUAUGGCCAGGAGUUUUAGUUUCAGUGAUGGUGAAUCAGGUAAAAUUUCUGGACAAUAAUAUCUUGUAGUUCAGCAGUUUCCAACCCAUAGGUUGUAAUCCCUUUAACAGACCUCUAUAUCCAAAAAUAUUUCCAUUAUGAUUUAUAACAGUAGAAAAUUUUCACUUAUAAUAGCAAUGAAAAUAAUUUUAUGGCUGGGGGUCACAACAUAAGUAACUGUAUUAAAGCAGCCUUAGGAAGAUUGAGAAUCACUGUUUUGGUGACUGUAUUCUAAGAGUCAUUUUGUUAGUGUAGGAAUCACUGGAUUAGCAUAGCAGCAGUAGGAAUUUUAGCAGAACUUACAGGCUGCCUGACAAGCCCUGAACACAGGACAGAGAGAAACAUGGUACAAGGACACAGACAAGCAGACAGGGUAGGUAGAGAAGAUUCUGGUUUGGAUAUUAUAAGUUUAUCUGGUAUCUAUCACAGGAAAAUAAAUUAUCCUAAAUAGAAGGACAAACAACUCCAACUUUAAUACCCAGUGAGUAUGUUGUGUCUGAUCCUAUUGAGGCCUUCAGUGUAAAAAUGAGGGAUGGCCAGCUAGUCAGAGCUGGACAGUGGGCUAUAAGAGCCACUGUGUGCUUAGCACUUGGGUGGGCAAGAUGAGAGGGCUGAACCAGACCAGCACUGCUGGGUGAGAUACACGCAUGUGGCCUUUCCACCUCAGCAGCCUCAGGGGAGUAAACUUCCCACAGAGUCUGUAAGAACAUGUGAUCUGUCCUUAGAAGUCUCGAUGAUCGUUUCUGACUGACUCUGUUGUUCUAAGCAGUCACAAAGCUUGCAAGAUUAUAAAGGAAGCCCAAAGCUUCCGUCAUUCAGUAGAAGUAUCAGAAGGUUCAAUGCUUUCAAACUGCCACAGUAUGUGGGAAUAAGAAAAGAAGGACAGCUAAGAGAUCCAAACAGACUCCACAGGUGUCAGAAGUCAGCACUGGGCUAAGGAGGAGGGAGCCUGAGGUUGAUUAGGACACAUUACAUUGCUGGUGUGAUAGCUGACUUCUCUGCCCCUCUUACACACUGCUGUAUCUUAACAAGUACAACAGUAAGCCACUUCACAGGUCGAUGAGGAAGUUUGUUAAGAUGUAAGGCUUCUGCUACAGCACCAGACAUUGCCCCAUUGAAUACACUUGAGCAACUUUUGUUUACAACUCACUUGCACACACAUUAGCUCAUUUAUUUUUCACAUCUGUUGCAGCUGUUCAAAUUACCAUUGUAUAAACAGAUGAAGAACUGUGACCCUGAGAGGUCAGGUAACAUUUUGAACAUUACACAGCCGGGGACUGUGGCUAGUGAUAGUGAUAGUGGAGGCUUGGGAACUUGUUUUUCAACUCUCAGAGUCAAUCCUUCCCACGGCUGUGCAGCUGCUUCCCAAAUAGGAGCAUGCCUCGAGACCACUCCUGUGCCCACCCGUGCUGUAGGACCAGCCUCCUGGAAAAAGCCACUGUAUUGUUGGCAUUUAUGUUGUUCUCCCAGGAGAUGCCAAUGAAGCUGCCUCCACCCUUGCCCACCCUGGGUAUGUCUGAAAUGUAUUAGCCGAUGUGAACAACUGUGGCAGCAGGUGUGUGCCUGCAGGCACCCAGCCGCCAUGCGGGAGAUAUAGAGACUGCUCCUUUUGUUCUGAAACAGAGGACUGGGUAUGACCUUUUCUCCAUGGCUAAGAACAACACACAAGACAGACACAUCAAAGUAUAGCUUUUCUCUAGAAACUAUGCAAGAGAAUAUAGCAGGCCGAGCUGUGCCUGACCAGGAUAGCUGCUAGGAAUCUUGAAGAAGGACAGGUCUGACUUUCCUGUAACCAACAAGGCCCUACUCACUUCCUGGGAGUUCCAUCUCGGCCUGCCUCAAUUUUCUGUUCUGGGUAGAGGGGUUCAAAACUAAUAAGGGAGUAUUCAAACAUUGAUAUUCUUGCUUCCUGAAGAGCCCACAACACUGAUCAAUCAGAAUAAACGUUCAUCUAUUGACCCAUCAGACACUGCAAAUGCCCAGAAAGGACUAGCAAGUUUGCUGCUCCCCGUUAAAGGUCACCCCCACCCUAAGCUCUGAAGAAUUUUUUCCUGAAUCCCGAAGAAGGAAGAGAUCAAAUUCCUGUCAUAACAUACUUCAGAAAGCAAGGGGCAGCCAGAAAUUCCCAUUUAUCUGAGGAAUCUUUGAAAAUCCUGCCUUGGGUGGAGUGACAUUUGCUAACAAUGACAACAGUGAAGUUGGCAGGCAGUCCUGGGUGCAGCCAGACAAAUCUAAGCACACUGUCCCUUGGGGUCUGUGUCUCAAGACUUGCAGGAAGUUUCUGAGAUCAGCAGGAACUCUGUCCUGGCUUGGGAGAUCACUCCAACCCCAGGAUUCAUUUGCAACUACGCCACAACAGAAAUGUGUCCUAAAAAGAGCCCAGUGGGGCCUCUUCACCUUGCCAUGUAAAAUGUGGGCAGAACCACUCACAGAAUGGAGUUCUCUACAAGUUUACUUCGCUCCUGCCCAGUAUAGAAAGGGAAAGAUAGGAGCCUUGGACAGUAAAACCAAAUCCAUCCUAUUAACUGUGCUACCAUUGGUCUGCAUUCUCAAUGUACUAGUUUUUGAACAUUUUAAUCACCAAAAAUGAGUAAUGUCCACAAUACAACUUAAAAGAAAUUUUCAAAGCAUGUUUCCAAUUAACAAUGCAUAAUUUUCACAACACUCUGUCUUCCUAUGAAAAUGUAAUUUCAACUUAAUAAAACUGUAGCUGGCAAUAUGGGUACACAUCGUGGGCUAAAGAUGUAUGGAACUACUGUUCUGUGCUGUGGCAAAAUCACAACUGUGCUUUAAGCAAGGGGAAAGAACAAGUCACUCAUCAUUCUGCAUGUGAAUCACUCUCCAUGACUGUCAAGGACUCAGCGUCAUUUUCUGAUUGGCACCAUGAGAAACAUCAGCAUGACAUUGAUGCACAAACUACCCAGGGGUCUGGGAAGGCAAAUACCACAUAUUUGAAAAACAGAGAACAAAUGCAUUUCAGGGGUAUGUAUGCCUUUCCUUUUCUUCAAGACAGUGUUUCUCCAGAAUCAGAAAGUCAUAACUGUAAUUUAAAUAGCUAUUUUAAUUUGCCUCUUAAAUUUGCAUGAAGGAGCUGUCCAUGCAUCUCUGUAUAGAAAGUGCUUACUAUGCAACUGACACCGAGUUCAGUCUCUGGAUUCACAGAGCCCACUUCACAAACUAUCCUCUGACAUGUGCUGAGACAAGUUAGGGCUCACAGAUCCAAACAUUAAUGAUAUGAUCCUGACUGUAAAGAUGGAAUAAUUAAAUUCCAUGUCUUCGGGCUUGGGACUCUUACAGCAUUUCAAAUCUACUGCCUUUUAUUUUCUUAGAACUUAUCAGUCAUAAUUCUUAUUAUUCUUAUCAGUAUAGCUACUAUAUUGCUCUUGCUUUGUGAAUUAGAAACCAGUGUUUAAGUAGGCAGGGUCUGCUGUAUGCUGCCUUACUGUCUAAACAAUACUUUUUAGCACUUGGUUGUACUAGGUUUGAACUGCCUCCUCAGUGAUUCUCAGGAAGUUUUUCAGCUUCUUGAGGAGGGGUUACAUUUAAAUGAUAGAUGUCAAAUGUCUCCAAAUGCAUGCAACUCAUGUUACAUAACACACACACACACACACACACACACACACACACACACACCUACAUACUGUACAGUAUGGGCAAGGUAAAGGAUCCUUAAUAGAAUUAUGACAGCCUCUUAAAAAUACCUUUAAAACAUCUCCAGUUCCUACAUCGUAAAACGCAAACUGCUGCUAUUUCUUGCCUAUUAAGAAACAAAACCAAGGGG
rnacentral:sRNA from 1 species